rnacentral:rRNA from 1 species
GAUGAACGCUGGCGGCGUGCCUAAUACAUGCAAGUCGAGCGAACAGAUAAGGAGCUUGCUCCUUUGACGUUAGCGGCGGACGGGUGAGUAACACGUGGGUAACCUACCUAUAAGACUGGGAUAACUUCGGGAAACCGGAGCUAAUACCGGAUAACAUUUGGAACCGCAUAGUUCUAAAGUGAAAGAUGGUUUUGCUAUCACUUAUAGAUGGACCCGCGCCGUAUUAGCUAGUUGGUAAGGUAACGGCUUACCAAGGCAACGAUACGUAGCCGACCUGAGAGGGUGAUCGGCCACAUUGGAACUGAGACACGGUCCAGACUCCUACGGGAGGCAGCAGUAGGGAAUCUUCCGCAAUGGGCGAAAGCCUGACGGAGCAACGCCGCGUGAGUGAUGAAGGGUUUCGGCUCGUAAAACUCUGUUAUUAGGGAAGAACAAACGUGUAAGUAACUGUGCACGUCUUGACGGUACCUAAUCAGAAAGCCACGGCUAACUACGUG